rnacentral:rRNA from 1 species
AUGCAUGUUGCCUCGCCGGACGAGUGGAGGAACUGGGCGUCGUUGCCCGGCGACGUCCUAUGCAUCAUCCUCAGCAAACUCCCGCAGACCGACAUCCUCAGCGGCGCAGGGCUCGCGUGCUCGCCCUGGCGGCGGCUAGCCAAGGAUGAGGCCCUGCUGUGA